rnacentral:rRNA from 1 species
GUGGAUUAGAUACCCUAGUAGUCCACGCCGUAAACGUUGGGCACUAGGUGUGGGGUCCUAUCGACGGAUUCCGUGCCGUAGCUAACGCAUUAAGUGCCCCGCCUGGGGAGUACGGCCGCAAGGCUAAAACUCAAAGGAAUUGACGGGGGCCCGCACAAGCGGCGGAGCAUGUUGCUUAAUUCGAGGCAACGCGAAGAACCUUACCUGGGCUUGACAUGUAGGGAAAAGCCGUAGAGAUACGGUGUCCUUUUGGGCCCUACACAGGUGGUGCAUGGCCGUCGACAGCU